GCCGAGCCAUUUAACAAAGGCUUGUAACCCAUGUGGGGCUUUAAGAUGGUCAAAGGUUGGCUCUUAGAAUUUGGUUGGGACUCUGAAGUUGUCUACUUGUUCGCUUAACCCAAGAAGGAAAUUGGGCCUCGCAUUAUCGACGAAAGUCCAAAGUGUAACGCCAUUAGAUCGAAGGAAACUGCAUGAGGUUGGCUUUAUAUAGAGCAGUGUCUCCUUUUGCUCUCUUCGGUGAAUGGAUAACGUGCAAUUCUUUAGAGCCCAAUAACACCUUGUACGAAGUCCUAAACUCGACAAACUUU
rnacentral:SRP_RNA from 1 species